AGGAUGAACGCUGGCGGCGUGCCUAAUACAUGCAAGUCGAGCGAACGGACGAGAAGCUUGCUUCUCUGAUGUUAGCGGCGGACGGGUGAGUAACACGUGGAUAACCUACCUAUAAGACUGGGAUAACUUCGGGAAACCGGAGCUAAUACCGGAUAAUAUUUUGAACCGCAUGGUUCAAAAGUGAAAGACGGUCUUGCUGUCACUUAUAGAUGGAUCCGCGCUGCAUUAGCUAGUUGGUAAGGUAACGGCUUACCAAGGCAACGAUGCAUAGCCGACCUGAGAGGGUGAUCGGCCACACUGGAACUGAGACACGGUCCAGACUCCUACGGGAGGCAGCAGUAGGGAAUCUUCCGCAAUGGGCGAAAGCCUGACGGAGCAACGCCGCGUGAGUGAUGAAGGUCUUCGGAUCGUAAAACUCUGUUAUUAGGGAAGAACAUAUGUGUAAGUAACUGUGCACAUCUUGACGGUACCUAAUCAGAAAGCCACGGCUAACUACGUGCCAGCAGCCGCGGUAAUACGUAGGUGGCAAGCGUUAUCCGGAAUUAUUGGGCGUAAAGCGCGCGUAGGCGGUUUUUUAAGUCUGAUGUGAAAGCCCACGGCUCAACCGUGGAGGGUCAUUGGAAACUGGAAAACUUGAGUGCAGAAGAGGAAAGUGGAAUUCCAUGUGUAGCGGUGAAAUGCGCAGAGAUAUGGAGGAACACCAGUGGCGAAGGCGACUUUCUGGUCUGUAACUGACGCUGAUGUGCGAAAGCGUGGGGAUCAAACAGGAUUAGAUACCCUGGUAGUCCACGCCGUAAACGAUGAGUGCUAAGUGUUAGGGGGUUUCCGCCCCUUAGUGCUGCAGCUAACGCAUUAAGCACUCCGCCUGGGGAGUACGACCGCAAGGUUGAAACUCAAAGGAAUUGACGGGGACCCGCACAAGCGGUGGAGCAUGUGGUUUAAUUCGAAGCAACGCGAAGAACCUUACCAAAUCUUGACAUCCUUUGACAACUC
rnacentral:rRNA from 1 species